rnacentral:rRNA from 1 species
AGUGAACGCUGGCGGUAGGCCUAACACAUGCAAGUCGAACGGCAGCACAGUAAGCGCUUGCUCCUACGGGUGGCGAGUGGCGGACGGGUGAGGAAUACAUCGGCAUCUACUUUUUCGUGGGGGACAACGUGGGGCAACUUCCGAUAAUACCGCAUACGACCUACGGGUGAAAGCAGUGGAUCUUCGGACCUUUCGCGAUUCUAUUAGCUGAUUCCGUGUCGGAUUAGCUAGUUGGUAAGGUCACGGCUAACCAAGGCAACGAUGCGUAGCUGAUCUGAGAGGGUGAUCAGCCACACUGGAACUGAGACACGGUCCAGACUCCUACGGGAGGCAGCAGUGGGGAAUAUUGGACAAUGGGCGCAAGCCUGAUCCAGCCAUACCGCGUGAGUGAAGAAGGCCUUCGGGUUGUAAAGCCCUGUUGUUGGGAAAGAAAAGCAGCAGGUUAAUACCCCGCUGUUCUGACGGUACCCAAAGAAUAAGCACCGGCUAACUUCGUG